rnacentral:rRNA from 1 species
CGUGUAGGCGGUUGGCCAAGUCGGAUGUGAAAGCCCGGGGCUCAGCCCCGGAAGGGCAUCCGAAACUAGCCGGCUGGAGCGCGAUAGAGGAGGGUGGAAUUCCUGGUGUAGCGGUGAAAUGCGUAGAUAUCAGGAGGAACACCGGCGGCGAAGGCGGCCCUCUGGAUCGUUGCUGACGCUGAGACGCGAAAGCGUGGGGGGCAAACAGGAUUAGAUACCCUGGUAGUCCACGCCUUAAACGAUGGGUACUAGGUGUUCGGGGUGUUGACCCCUGAGUGCCGCAGUUAACGCAUUAAGUACCCCGCCUGGGGACUACGGCCGCAAGGUUAAA